rnacentral:tRNA from 2 species
GGAGAGGUGACCGAGUGGCUUAAGGUGCACGAUUGGAAAUCGUGUGGGCGGUGUUGAGCUGCCUCGUGGGUUCGAAUCCCACCCUCUCCG